GCCUUCUUAGCUCAGUGGUAGAGCGUUGCACUCGUAUUUACGAACAUUGAUUAUGCAAAGGCCGCUAGUUCAAGUCUGGCAGGAGGCA